UUUCUCUCUGUUGCUCAGGCUGGAGUGCAGUUCUACAAUCAGGGCUCACUGCAGCCUCUGCCUCCUGGGCUCAAGUGAUCUCCCACCUCAGCCUCCAGAGUAGCUGCUACAGGCAUGUGCCACCCCACAGCAGGCUAAUUAAAAAAAAAAUGUAGAGAUGGUGUCUCCCUGUGUUGCCCAGGCUGAUCUCCAACUCCUGUUCUCAAGCAGUACCUCCCUCUUGGCCUCCAAAGUGCUUGGAUUACAAACGCGAGCCACCACAUUGGACUUCAACAUUGCCUUGUGCAAACAUUUUACUAUCAAAGGAAUAACAGAAUUCAUCAGUAUUGAAGAAAAUGUGAAGGAAAUUGAGGAGAAAAAAUGUCUAAAUCUAAAAAUGUUGAAAGGCAGAAAUUAUCUGGAAGGGUAAAUCAAAGAUAUUUUUUAAAAAAAGAAAAGUAAGUAAAC
rnacentral:lncRNA from 10 species